rnacentral:rRNA from 1 species
UACGUAGGGGCCAAGCGUUGUCCGGAUUUAUUGGGCGUAAAGAGCUCGUAGGCGGUUGGGUAAGUCGGGUGUGAAAACUCCAGGCUCAACUUGGAGAUGCCACCCGAUACUGCUCUGACUUGAGUUCGGUAGGGGAGUGGGGAAUUCCUGGUGUAGCGGUGAAAUGCGCAGAUAUCAGGAGGAACACCGGUGGCGAAGGCGCCACUCUGGGCCGAUACUGACGCUGAGGAGCGAAAGCAUGGGUAGCGAACAGG